GAUGAACGCUGGCGGCGUGCUUAACACAUGCAAGUCGAACGGGAUCCCAGGAGCUUGCUCCUGGGUGAGAGUGGCGAACGGGUGAGUAAUGCGUGACCGACCUGCCCCAUACACCGGAAUAGCUCCUGGAAACGGGUGGUAAUGCCGGAUGCUCCAGUUGGAUGCAUGUCCUUCUGGGAAAGAUUCUAUCGGUAUGGGAUGGGGUCGCGUCCUAUCAGCUUGAUGGCGGGGUAACGGCCCACCAUGGCUUCGACGGGUAGCCGGCCUGAGAGGGCGACCGGCCACAUUGGGACUGAGAUACGGCCCAGACUCCUACGGGAGGCAGCAGUGGGGAAUAUUGCACAAUGGGCGCAAGCCUGAUGCAGCGACGCCGCGUGCGGGAUGACGGCCUUCGGGUUGUAAACCGCUUUUGACUGGGAGCAAGCCCUUCGGG
rnacentral:rRNA from 1 species